rnacentral:rRNA from 1 species
UUAAGUUGAAGAGUUUGAUCAUGGCUCAGAUUGAACGCUGGCGGCAGGCCUAACACAUGCAAGUCGAACGGUAACAGGAAGAAGCUUGCUUCUUUGCUGACGAGUGGCGGACGGGUGAGUAAUGUCUGGGAAACUGCCUGAUGGAGGGGGAUAACUACUGGAAACGGUAGCUAAUACCGCAUAACGUCGCAAGACCAAAGAGGGGGACCUUCGGGCCUCUUGCCAUCGGAUGUGCCCAGAUGGGAUUAGCUAGUAGGUGGGGUAACGGCUCACCUAGGCGACGAUCCCUAGCUGGUCUGAGAGGAUGACCAGCCACACUGGAACUGAGACACGGUCCAGACUCCUACGGGAGGCAGCAGUGGGGAAUAUUGCACAAUGGGCGCAAGCCUGAUGCAGCCAUGCCGCGUGUAUGAAGAAGGCCUUCGGGUUGUAAAGUACUUUCAGCGGGGAGGAAGGGAGUAAAGUUAAUACCUUUGCUCAUUGACGUUACCCGCAGAAGAAGCACCGGCUAACUCCGUGCCAGCAGCCGCGGUAAUACGGAGGGUGCAAGCGUUAAUCGGAAUUACUGGGCGUAAAGCGCACGCAGGCGGUUUGUUAAGUCAGAUGUGAAAUCCCCGGGCUCAACCUGGGAACUGCAUCUGAUACUGGCAAGCUUGAGUCUCGUAGAGGGGGUAGAAUUCCAGGUGUAGCGGUGAAAUGCGUAGAGAUCUGGAGGAAUACCGGUGGCGAAGGCGGCCCCCUGGACGAAGACUGACGCUCAGGUGCGAAAGCGUGGGGAGCAAACAGGAUUAGAUACCCUGGUAGUCCACGCCGUAAACGAUGUCGACUUGGAGGUUGUGCCCUUGAGGCGUGGCUUCCGGAGCUAACGCGUUAAGUCGACCGCCUGGGGAGUACGGCCGCAAGGUUAAAACUCAAAUGAAUUGACGGGGCCCGCACAAGCGGUGGAGCAUGUGGUUUAAUUCGAUGCAACGCGAAGAACCUUACCUGGUCUUGACAUCCACGGAAGUUUUCAGAGAUGAGAAUGUGCCUUCGGGAACCGUGAGACAGGUGCUGCAUGGCUGUCGUCAGCUCGUGUUGUGAAAUGUUGGGUUAAGUCCCGCAACGAGCGCAACCCUUAUCCUUUGUUGCCAGCGGUCCGGCCGGGAACUCAAAGGAGACUGCCAGUGAUAAACUGGAGGAAGGUGGGGAUGACGUCAAGUCAUCAUGGCCCUUACGACCAGGGCUACACACGUGCUACAAUGGCGCAUACAAAGAGAAGCGACCUCGCGAGAGCAAGCGGACCUCAUAAAGUGCGUCGUAGUCCGGAUUGGAGUCUGCAACUCGACUCCAUGAAGUCGGAAUCGCUAGUAAUCGUGGAUCAGAAUGCCACGGUGAAUACGUUCCCGGGCCUUGUACACACCGCCCGUCACACCAUGGGAGUGGGUUGCAAAAGAAGUAGGUAGCUUAACCUUCGGGAGGGCGCUUACCACUUUGUGAUUCAUGACUGGGGUGAAGUCGUAACAAGGUAACCGUAGGGGAACCUGCGGUUGGAUCACCUCCUUACCUUAAAGAAGC